ACGUACACUCCUGCGGGAGGCAGCAGUGUGGAAUAUUGCACAAUGGGCGCAAGCCUGAUGCAGCCAUGCCGCGUGUAUGAAGAAGGCCUUCGGGUUGUAAAGUACUUUCAGCGGGGAGGAAGGCAAUACGGUUAAUAACCGUGUUGAUUGACGUUACCCGCAGAAGAAGCACCGGCUAACUCCGUGCCAGCAGCCGCGGUAAUACGGAGGGUGCAAGCGUUAAUCGGAAUUACUGGGCGUAAAGCGCACGCAGGCGGUCUGUCAAGUCGGAUGUGAAAUCCCCGGGCUCAACCUGGGAACUGCAUUCGAAACUGGCAGGCUUGAGUCUUGUAGAGGGGGGUAGAAUUCCAGGUGUAGCGGUGAAAUGCGUAGAGAUCUGGAGGAAUACCGGUGGCGAAGGCGGCCCCCUGGACAAAGACUGACGCUCAGGUGCGAAAGCGUGGGGAGCAAACAGGAUUAGAUACCCGGGUAGUCC
rnacentral:rRNA from 1 species